rnacentral:rRNA from 1 species
GGCGAAUUAGUGGGACUGCCGUUGUUAAAACGGAGGAAGGAGGGGGCUACGGCAGGUCAGUAUGCCCCGAAACUCUGGGGCCACACGCGGGCUGCAAUGGUAGUGACAAUGAGUUCCAAACUCGAAAGAGAGUCGGCAAUCUCUAAACGCUACCACAGUUAUGACUGAGGGCUGUAACUCGCCCUCACGAAUAUGGAAUCCCUAGUAACCGCGUGUCAUUACCGCGCGGUGAAUACGUCCCUGCUCCUU